AUAAACGACUCUCGGCAACGGAUAUCUCGGCUCACGCAUCGAUGAAGAACGUAGCAAAAUGCGAUACUUGGUGUGAAUUGCAGAAUCCCGUGAACCAUCGAGUUUUUGAACGCAAGUUGCGCCCGAAGCCAUUCGGNCGAGGGCACGUCUGCCUGGGCGUCACG
rnacentral:rRNA from 1 species